rnacentral:rRNA from 1 species
CACCAGUGGCGAAGGCGACUCUCUGGUCUGUAACUGACGCUGAGGAGCGAAAGCGUGGGGAGCGAACAGGAUUAGAUACCCUGGUAGUCCACGCCGUAAACGAUGAGUGCUAAGUGUUAGGGGGUUUCCGCCCCUUAGUGCUGCAGCUAACGCAUUAAGCACUCCGCCUGGGGAGUACGGUCGCAAGACUGAAACUCAAAGGAAUUGACGGGGGCCCGCACAAGCGGUGGAGCAUGUGGUUUAAUUCGAAGCAACGCGAAGAACCUUACCAGGUCUUGACAUCCUCUGACAACCCUAGAGAUAGGGCUUUCCCUUCGGGGACAGAGUGACAGGUGGUGCAUGGUUGUCGUCAGCUCGUGUCGUGAGAUGUUGGGUUAAGUCCCGCAACGAGCGCAACCCUUGAUCUUAGUUGCCAGCAUUCAGUUGGGCACUCUAAGGUGACUGCCGGUGACAAACCGGAGGAAGGUGGGGAUGACGUCAAAUCAUCAUGCCCCUUAUGACCUGGGCUACACACGUGCUACAAUG